rnacentral:sRNA from 1 species
CUUCCCAUUAAAACAAUCAAGAAUGAUGGCGAAUUUAAUAUAUUUGAUUAGAGAAACUCCAAUUUGGUGCACUUGAAUCAGCUGCCUUUGUCUUCAGCUCCUGAUGGCCCUGUUUCAGUGGAAUGUCCUCACUGGCCACUGCCAGCUCCCUCAGGCUCGGAGAACAUUCCACAUUUGCCUGGCAUGCUCAGAAACAGGGCAGCUAUGCUGCGGGAAAUGCCAGGCCCACUCUGUCCUAAUCAGAGGGAGCGCCACUUCAUUAGAUCAUGGUCACUUGCUGGUGACCCUCAGAGGUGUAGCCUGAGGACAAAGGACGUUAUGGUCCUCCUAAGCAAUGUUGACUUUUCACGGUUAUUUAUUACUUCCCUCAGUUGGUACUUACCAAUGCGAUCCAGGCCUGACUCCUACACAAACAACCCCCAUAGACUCCCGUGUUCAAGUUGCACAGAUGAAUUUUGGAGAAAGUAAUCACAUUUAAAUAUGGAGUCCCUUCCAUUAAAAAUAAAUAGAAACUCAGGGGAAAAUAGAAAAAGUGUCCUCACCCCCCGCCCCCCGUGUCAUUAAGAGAGCUUGCAAUCGUGUCUAAGUAGCACCCACUUUGCAGAAACCUUGAAAGGUGUUUCAGGGGAGCCAGGGAGUACAGACUUAGACAAUGUCACUUAUUCACACUUAAAAUACAUGGUGAUUUAGCGCUAUCACUAUUUAGUCUAGAUAAGUGCUCGAUGAACAAGUAAGGACUGAAUUAAAGAUGAGAGUCUGAACUGUGGCAGAGAUAUGUGGGCUCUCUUGAAUUCAUAGGGAUUUCCUUGGAUAGUUUCUACUCACUGCCAGUAUCGUAUUGAACUGAGACGGACUAGGCUACAAAGACAGUUAAACUCAUUGCCUGCUUAAUCACAAAGGAAAGAAGUUGGAAUCCGCCCCACAUUGCCACCUGGCUUAGUCCCUGCCUAUGAUUGCCUGUGAUAGGAAACCAAACCCAAGGGACUAUGGCCAAGUAUAAAAUAGCAUCCAGGUUUCUGGGUCUCAGCACCCGUGUCCAGUCUGUGAAGCAGCCUGUCAACAAGAGACUUUAAAGUCUCUGCUACACUUGGGAAGAGUUACCUAGGAAGGAGGGCACCUCCUGGGGGUGACUGGGGGCUGCAAGGGAUACUUCCCUUGGAGAUCAACUGGCAGCCCAUCAGUUUGGCCUGCUACACAAGUCAGAGACCUCUGAGGAGGGCUAAAGAUGUUUUGGCUCCACACCCAAAAGCACUCUGAGCGUGGGGCAAGAAGAACCAGCCAGCCUUCCAGAAAGGCCAGUUUCCCAAGAGCAGCAUGGGCUGCCAGGUUCAGGGACGUGCAGCCAAGGCCAGCAGGAGAUGUUCUGAGCUGCCCANGGUGAGGGAGAGGGAGAGGGAGUUUCAUGAUACUCAGCUAGAUGAAUGUGUUCAAACACAACAGAGAGCCUGCCUGCCUGCCUGCCUUCUACCUCUCCCUUUUCAGUUGAGUUUGAAGAUUCCUCUCGUAUAAGAAUUAAUAUGAAAAGAAUUCUGAACCCUAUUAUGGCAUUGUGUUAUAAUAAUGGAAUGCUCGUCCCGCCCAAUCUGGCUGGCUGUCCCCUGGACCAUGCCAACAACAAUCCAGUUCCACAGUGUGUAAGGGUGGCUGUGGGGACAGCCUCCAGAGCUGACAGAGAGGCUCUGGAUACUUCAUGACGGUCAAAUGGACAGAGUGGGUCCGGACACCCCAGCCACCUUUCUGCACACACGUGUGGACACAGGAGGACACAUGCUUGGUGUUGGGGAUUGAACUCCAGCAGUAGUGUGAGGGAUCCAGUAAGACAUGAGAAAGGUCUUCCAGCCGGAGAAAGGUUCAGCCCUGCUUGUCACUGGAAAAGGAUGCCGAAGUGCUGCCUGAGAGAGAAUAUGUCUGAUGAGUGAGGGGUGGAGUCCUGCAGUUCUACAGAAGCCCCUGGCUGCCUAGACAGUGAUAAGGAUAACAGCCUCGUAUGCAAUCAUCAAAUGGUACCACAAGGAGAGAGCACACAUUCAGAACUCACUGUAAGAGCCAGCCUGCUUCAGAGACACUGACCAGCAAGCAAUCACGGUGCUGCACAUCACACAGGGUGGAGCCAGCCGUGCGUGAGCUUCGAUGGGCGACCACAGCAAGGAAAUGGAAGCCAAAGAGAACCAAGCGCUGAACGGCCUCGAUUAAAGACCCGAAAAUGAAUACUGUGUAGGCAAAGACGGGAUUCCCCUCAGAGAGCAACAGUGGGUGAGGAUAAUCCUAGGUGUGGCAAAGAUCGAGGACCUCCACAAAGGCUCCAGCUGCAGCUUGCUGGGCUGUCUGUCCCACCAGCAGACAGGCUUCAUCAGGAAUGAAAACCAUCCCGUGGCCUACAGCAGCCCUUCAAAUAGAGUCUGGAUGGAAGCACGAAGAGACGAACACAGCCAGGUGAGUGUGGAAUGACUCUUGGCUGGCAAGCAACUGCCUCCUGAAUAGUCAGAGGAGUAUCCUUACAUCCUAAUGACAUCGUGAAACAAUUAGAACCACCAUCAGUCCCUUUUCCUCCAUCCUUGUGACUCACUGGUAAAAGCUAGAGAAUCCCUCAUCAAUUACUAAGUUACUAACCUGUGAGUCAGGUGGAUUAGAGAGGCUGAACAAUCUGCAGAACAAUUGUGCAUGUGCUUCUGACUCAGCUCAAGGUGUUAAAAGGGACCCGUCCUACAUCCCACACCUAGAAACACCUGUCUCACUCAUUUCCCAGCAUGCCUAGGACUGCUGCCCCAGUGUGGCAAGCACUAAAGCACUCGGAGCAUCACCUGAAGGUCAGCACCUCCUGCCCUCUGAUGCCCACGAGUGAAGUUCACACAGCACCACUGCAGUUUAUCAUUUAUCAAGUCCGCUACCUUUUAGGACCAGGGAGGCUCAGCUCUCUAUAACCAUCAGAAGAAACUCCUCUCCUCCCACUUCUUCCUAUGUGACGUCAUAGGGUCCAGCAUAGGAACUUGGAACAAGUAGCCCUGAGAAGUCAUUUGAGAUCAGAAGAGAGGGGUUUUUAAUCUUGGUUCACCGGAAGAGCACUGAUGCAUUUGACUUCCUGAUUUUGGCAGACCAAAUAAAACAAACAGAUUAAAAAGAGAGAAAAGGGAAGGAAGAAUAAAAGGAAGGAAGGGAGGAAGGAAAAAACAAAUCCACAAUUGACAACAAAAAGUAACUAAUAACACAGAAACUAAUUAGGACUCUGUCGUAUUUAAUUCUUCUUCAUAUCAAGGUGUCCAGGGCCACCAUUGAGUGCGGCCAAUGCUAGAGUAGACAUGCUUCUUGUGGCACACAGUGCAAGUGUUUUUAGGAGAGGAAGUGAAGCAGGGUGUGUGCUGGCUGACUCAGAGGGCUGGUAUAGGGAACGUGAGGUGCUGAGGAACCCUGGUUCCUGUUGUAACAGCCAGCUGCUUUCUCUAAGCGCUUACCUUACCCUCUCAGAAGGACCUUGUUUGUACUCCAUAAUGGAUGACUGUGGAAUGUACAUUGUAACCAUUAGUCACACGGCCGAACGGAUACAAUGGCCACUUCUAGACAUUAGCUAUUGAUGGAGGCAGACGAUGACACUCAGGACAAACUGUUCUCUGCAUGAGGAACACUGAGUAAACUGACUAGAGAGUUAUGGCUCAAGGAGGCAAGUCCUGGCAGGCAGAGAGAAAGCAGCAUGAGCCAAUGUGUAAGCCUAGACUGGCUCACUAUUCAGACUCUGGCUAAUUGACCGAGUGGUGGGGUCCAGACAGUCGUGUGUGGCCAGUGAGUACUCACAAGUCCUCCUUUCUGUGUUCCGGAAGAGUAUAACUGAGUGAGCUCCACAUGUAGGAGUUCAGUGCAUGAUAGAUUUUCUUUCCAGGAAGACUGUACAGUAUAGCUAUUGGCACGGCCAUAGGCUUGAUAUUUCAGUUCUUCUAGUUAUUAACUGGACAGCUUUGCACCAAUUCUUUCAACAGCCAAAGUCCUGGUCCUUGUCUCAGAGGAUUGUUAUGAUAAAGCUAUGUGAUAUCUCAGUCAAAAUGUGGAUGGUGUUCCUCAUUCCUGGUAUGUCGUCGUGAUUAUUGUGUCACAGUGGAUUCAGAAUGCAUUACUCCACCAUUUAUCUCCACAUGGCAGAGUUCAUCUAUAUUUGUAUGUUUGCCUUCACCCAUGGGCUAUGCAUUGCUCAGGGAAAGAGCUAUUUUUUGCAUCUUACCUGAUUCCUAGAACUGCUGUGGACCUUCCUGGAAACACAAGUACUGAGGGUGGGACACAGAGUUGGACAAAGGCCAAAGACUGAUGAUCUAUGGUCUUGUUGCUCUCUCCUACUGUUCUGGGGGCCAGAAGCUGACGCCCCUGGAAACUUAACUCUUUCUUACUGUUCUGUGCUGAUAAGGGCUAGUUUCCCACUCCGUACUUCUCUAUUUGUGUUUAAAUAAGCACUGGUUUUUCUUUUCUUCCUCUCUCAGCCCCUCACUCCUCAGGAGACUCAGAAUUCAUUAACUCUGAACCAGAGAGAAAAGAAGGA